GAUGAAGAGCGCAGCGAAAUGCGAUAAGUAAUGUGAAUUGCAGAAUUCAGUGAAUCAUCGAAUCUUUGAACGCACAUUGCGCCCCUUGGUAUUCCGGGGGGCAUGCCUCUUCCAGCGUCAUUUCACCCCUCAAGCUCUGCUUGGUUUUGGGCCGCGCCGGCAACGGCGGGCCUCGAAAAUAGUGGCGACGCCAUCGUGCUCUCAGCGUAGUAAUUCUUCUCGCUGUUGGGUCCCGGUGGUCGUCCGCCAGCAACCCUCAACUUUCUUAAGUUUGACCUGGGAUGAGGUAGGGAUACCCGCUGAACUUAAGCAUAUCAAUAAGCGGAGGA
rnacentral:misc_RNA from 1 species